UUUGGGAUUUUUUUUUAGGAAGGAAGCAGUCUCCUUGGUUAUCAGAUCAUUAUCAGGUCAGAUCAGAUGGCCAAAAGAACAGAGUUCAGUAAGGAGUUUAAAAUAAUCCCAUCAUUUUUUGAAGUCUACCACUCUCUUGCACGAAACAUGGAAUUUGUUAAAUACAUGUAUAUAAUUCUUAUUGUUAAAGAUUAACUAUUUACACCUUAGAAGUUUUCAAGUGUUACUACAGUAUUUCAUUCUCUAUUGACAAAUGUAAUUUCUUUAUAAACACUAUUUCUUUUAAAAGUAGUAUUUAAAAUCUGUAGGUGUCCCUUUGCCUUAUGAAUAAAUUAGAAGACACUGAGUAACAGCAACCGACAAAGUACAAACACUUUAUUACAAUUGUGGUGACUCAGACUGUCAGGAUUUGGCAGCCCACAGUGUUCCUCAGCAGCAGAACAAAAGGGGAUUUUUUUUUGGCAGUUUUACUUCUAGUUCAGUAAAGGACAACAUGAUACUGUCUGUGCCUUAAUGAAUCAAAACCUCUGUAAAGCAAAGGCAUAAGUAGUCAGACCCCAAUCAUUUUCUGUCUCACAGUAUAAAACCAGACAAACAUAUUACGUAUACAUCUAGGACCUCUAAUAUGUGUGCUCUGUCCUUGUCUACCAGGGAAAAAAUAAAAUAAAUAAAAGCAGGAAAAUUAUCUAGCUACAUAAAUACAAAUCAGUUCUACAGGCAACAUAGUCCCAAAAUACUUCAAGAUCAGGAAAUAUUUUCUGCUUUCCUGUUGAAUACAAGAGACAUUGAUAAAAAAUUCUAAGUGGAUUUUUAAACACCUUCACUAACUAAAAACAUAAACCCCAAAGACCUAAGUAUUGCUUAGGUCUAUAAUAACACAAUCUCUAAUGUAUUCAGAACAUAAAACACAUUUUGAGGGAGACUCAUUUUCCAGCACCCCCCAUCAUGAUCUCAUCUGGAACAGCAAAACCAUCCCUGCAGUAAUUGGUAUUACAGAGCCCUGCAGCAGCACAGCCUUAGGAGAGGGAAGCAUUCCAGUCAGUCCUACAGGGCUUUUAUGCUUUAAUCAUAAAAAAACCCCAAGGAAAAUAGUUACAAAAUAUUAGAACCCAUUUCCUCUGCCACCAUCAAUUCUUAGGGAGAGGAUUACAAACUUAUUUCCAGAAGCUUCUAAAGAUGCCAACGUCCAUCAUGAAAGCUGUAUUUGAAGAAGUCGCCAACUGCCUACAGAUGAUCCUUGAGCAAAAUACUGCAAUUACAGAGCAAUACAGUACAGACUGUGUGUAUGUGGGAGGGACAAAGUACAACUGAGACAAAAUUAGACUGUUCCUGGAAAUAAAACAUAACAAAUUUAACAAUCUAGCCAUUUCAAAUCUAAACAGAUCUCAACAACUCUGAGAAAUGUUAUCGAAUUUUCCCCUUGCAAUUGCUUCCCUCCCCAGUUUCCACAGUAUUAUAGCAAUCCCCUCUGAAAAAUUAGGACCAACUGAUCACCCAUACCAAAUAAAUAUCACUGUAUGUCUCCCAUGGAGGCUAUUUAAAUACAAUUCUGGAAUCAAUUUACUGGAGAUAAAAUCAUAAGAAUCAGUUACCAGAGAGAAUUUUCCUUCUUCUCCAAAACCAAUUCUGCUCUGUAAGUGGCACCAUCACUCAGCAUUUUGAUAACAGCUAAAAAAAAAGUAAUGAAUUUUUGCCCCACAGCUCUACACCAUUAUUAACAUGCACAAGAGAAACCAGAAGAUGAACUUUCUCCACUCUUCCCAGAAAGCCAUUAACUCAAACUAACCUUCCAGAUUUUAUCUGGGGCAGCUGCAAAAUGAAAAUUAUAAUGAUCAAGCUAGGUAUUAAAUACACUCACAAUAAAGAAAAUAAAGCAGAAAGCAGGUUUGCUCUGAAAUAUCUUUGAAAAACAUGAAAACAACCCUUUCCUCCCAUUUCUCAGACUAACCACAUACAGCUUAGGCAACAAUAGUCUUAGGACACUACUGGGCUCAGUUCAGUUGCAGAGGAAAAUAAUACUGAGCUGUUUAGAAACAUCCCAGCAGGUGCUCUGGCACAUGGGUCUGUGCAGGACAUGGGUCUUCUGGCCUCCUUGCUCCUGCUAACCAAGUAUAGAUGCAACAGUUGUUGCAAAGCAUCUCAUAAAAGACAAAACAAUUACACCGGAUAACUGAAUCAAACCAGACUCAAACUGCAUCCUAAAACCAAAAGAAAGACUUUCUCCAGAAGUCCUCAGUCUUGCCAAAGGCUGGCCUUCAUCCCUUCAAAAUCUACACUCUUCCUAGAUUUACUUAUCCAUGUAAGUCUAGAAACCCAAAUUGGACUCACAGGAGAAUUUUGAGCAUGGCUGCAACAAAUUUGGGUAUAGAAGGGAAAGUAAGAUAACUGGGAUGGCAAGCAGGAAGCCACCUAACAUAAUAGGUAAGAAAGUUGUGAAAGCUGUACCUUAAACUGAUGUCACCUGUUCCUGGAAGCUCAAGAGGUACCUAUGUUAUUAAAAAGGGUUGUAAAACCCUCAGGCCUCUCUAGAAGCAAGAUACAUUCCUUUCACAAGCUCCUGAGGAAAGGAGUCACGCAAUGUUGAAGUUUCGGAUGAGAGGGCAGGAGCAUGCCCUCAAGCACCACGGAGCCAUUUAAAAGCAUCAGGAAAGCAACCACAGAGGAAGUAGAAGUGGGUGGUAGGCUCCUUUCAGGUUGAGAGACUGCCUCCCAACCACAUCUCUGCACACCAGAGUAGUGCCCUAAACCACAGGCUAUUGUCUGUCCUAAGACUAUUCCUGCAGAAGUUAUGAAAUGGAAAAAUAUUUACUGGACGAAAGAAUGAAACACCUAUAGAAACCAGAUUUCCCUCCCCUGAAUGCCUUAAUCACAGAGCAGGAGUUUAGACCUCUGGCCUAAUUACUGUUUUGUUUUGUUUUUUUUUCCCAAAGGCUGCAGGUGAAAUAAAGGACAGCUUAUGACACUCUGCUUGUUUCAGUCUCUUGGGAAGAGGGUGAUGUGAGCUCAAGUUUUUAAUAAAGAGCAGAAGUUCUGGGGGGAAAAAACAAAGCAUGACUGCAAAAGCAGCAUAGGAGGGUACUGAAGAAGUACAGAACAGAAUACAGGAAAAUAUUGCACAGUCUUUGAGAAACCAUGUAAGUAACUCAGAAAGCCUUGCUUAUACUUGCCAUAGUUCACAUUAAGUGAAACUUUAAAGAACAGCAGUUAAACUAUAAUACAGCAGUUUAAGUUGAAGAAUAAAAAUCUUAGAAUUUUAUUCUUCAUUGGUACUCUAUGCUCUUUAUAAAAUUAAGUCAAACCUAUCAUGAUGUUCCCAUAAACUGUAAUUUAUUUUCAUUAAAACAUUUUUCUAAAGUCUAACAAAGGAAAGAGUAGGACUUUAUAAUUAAUUUUUAAUGUUGGCCUGGUAAGAUGGGGGAUUGGGGGUAUUACAGGAGAGUAGAGAAGAUUUAAAUGCAAGAAACUACAAGUUUCAUUUUUAAAAUUACUUUAAAAAGUACAUUGCUGACGUAACAGUCUUCCUUACAUGUUAUAGAAAUACGAAAGUAACCAUAACAGAGAAAAAGGAAGUAUCAGCUCAGUUCUUCCCUGUGUAACAGGAGUUGGGGUAUUUUUGUAGAGCUGUGCUGAGCAUGUGAAAAUCUUUGUCCACAAGGCAACCUCAUGUCACGACAGCAUUUCAUUCCAUAUCUCCCCUCCACCUAAGAGUUAACUGCCAAAGUAAUUUUAAUUUUUUAUGGCCUUGCAGAUGAUCAAAACAGAAGCAAAGCAAAGCAAUCUCUGUCCCCCUUAACCUACCCUUUCCCCACACACAUAUAAACCGACUUUAGAACUGGUAACAAAAACAGAGUGGAAAGAUGGUCUGUAUGGCAGCUAGAGACAGGGAACAGGCUGGAAAUCAACUCACAGCACCACCCUCGGCAAGUUAUUAGCAGCACCACUGAAAGCCUGUGCAGUUAAGAGCCUCGCUGUGUUGCCAGUGAAUUACAGAGCAUUCGAUUUUACACAGUAGCACAAUGUAUUACUGAGACCUUAGCAAAACAAACCCCAGAUAAAGAUAAAUAAAAACAAACAGUCUUGGAAUCAAAUCAGGAGAAAAAUAAUAAUAGGAAUAAUAGAUACAAGGGUGCUAUCUGUUCGCUGUAACACCUCCCAACAUAGACAGCGAUUUAAACGAGAUGGAUGCAGCACUACAGAGCCUGCCUUUUAUCUCCUAUCUAGGUACAUCACGCUGGAAACACCACGCUUAUGGCACCCUGCAUCCAGCAAUCACCAGCAGCUGGAAUAGAAAGUUUUCGAAGGCAGCGCUUCCUCAAGACGUCAAAACCAGAUCUGAGCCCAUUCACAGCUCGUGAAAAUACUUUGUACUUCCUCUUGCUGUGCUGAGGGUUAAAUGAGGUUAAAGUCGCCAGAAUGGCUGUGCAGCACUUGGUUUCCCCCUUCCCCAAAAGCCAGUCUGUGCGUCAUUUAGAGUGAGAAAGCAAGAAAAGGAAAACAAAACAAAAAGUGACGAUAUUAGAAAUAGAGUACAGAAAUACCUGCUCAAUUGUUCAAAGGGCUUUGCUUGCUGAGCUCUUUAAAUGUGAGAAGCUGUGAUGCUGACCACAAAGCCAUCACAGCUCCGUGCCAGUGAAGCUGAGAGUUCACACACAGCUGCGUUCUGCCUCGGGCAAAUGUGUUGAGGAGAGCUGUGUGCUCAGAGAGGUGUGAUUCUCAUGAAUAAGGCAAGUUUUGGAGCGCUGCUGAGUGGUUUGGUGGAGCUGUGAACAUGUAGGGCCUGCUGCUGCCUUGACCCUCUGGCCUGUCACCCCCUCUGAGCAAGCAGCAAAGCAGCAUCGCUUUCAUGAUUUAACUUCUCCCUUUACUCAGGCUUGAUCCAGAUGUCCUUGAAUCGUUCUUUUUUUGGUCUGAAAAUUCCAAAUUGUCUAGUUAGAAAAUAAGUCAAGUGACAUACUUAGCCUAUUAAAAGGCUGUGUCUCUGUUCCUGUAGCACAUUUAGUAUAGCUACCCUUACAGCACCCAGCUUAGUAGAACACUGAGCUGCUGGCUUGCAUUUUUUUACCCACAAGUCUCAAAGUACCUUUUAAAAGAAGUAAAUAGCAUUGCUCCACUUUCAAGCGGGAAGAACAGUCACGUGGAAAACUUGAACCAGGAGAAAGAACUGAACCUCAGAUUCCCAGCUAGCAACGUAAUGUCCCCUUUUAAUUAUUUUUCUGGGGCAUGCAUUCUGACUGCUUUAUAAUGGUUGUGUCUUGAACUGGAUGCUUUUACAAAAGAAGAGGCAGCUGUCACCUAUAUUUUGGAAAUAUCCUAUCCAUCUAUGACUGGAUGCUAUGUAUGCUCUCAAGUUGUCUGCACUGAAUACAUCAAGGACUUAGCCAGAAGAAUAUUUUUAUUCUGCAUACAGGCAGUACUAAAGUCCAGGUCUGGUGCUUUCAUGAAGUAGUUUCGCACAUCACAGGAAGCAGGAAUGAUUCAUAAAAGUCAUCUGCAAUACUGCUGGCACGUGACAUUGGCAGAGGCACGGGCAGCCAGCCCUUUGCUGACAAGGGACCAGCCAUGGCAGGUUAGAGCAGCUACACACUCACCAAAAAACACUGGAGUCUCAUCUGAAUACAGCUGGAAGUCUGAUCCCUGUUUGUCUACCUGUUUGGAAGUCAAUGUACAGGAUAUAUAAUCCCCUUCUAAAGACAUGUAACAACUUGAAUAGCAAACAAUAAAAAUGUAAUUAUUUUA